GUACACUCCUGCGGGAGGCAGCAGUGGGGAAUAUUGCACAAUGGGCGCAAGCCUGAUGCAGCGACGCCGCGUGGGGGAUGAAGGCCUUCGGGUUGUAAACUCCUUUCGCUAGGGACGAAGCUUUUUUGUGACGGUACCUAGAUAAGAAGCACCGGCUAACUACGUGCCAGCAGCCGCGGUAAUACGUAGGGUGCGAGCGUUGUCCGGAAUUACUGGGCGUAAAGGGCUCGUAGGUGGUUUGUCGCGUCGUCUGUGAAAUUCUGGGGCUUAACUCCGGGCGGGCAGGCGAUACGGGCAUAACUUGAGUGCUGUAGGGGUAACUGGAAUUCCUGGUGUAGCGGUGAAAUGCGCAGAUAUCAGGAGGAACACCGAUGGCGAAGGCAGGUUACUGGGCAGUUACUGACGCUGAGGAGCGAAAGCAUGGGUAGCGAACAGGAUUAGAUACCCUGGUAGUCCCA
rnacentral:rRNA from 1 species